rnacentral:rRNA from 1 species
CAGCCGCCGCGGUAAUACGAAGGGUGCAAGCGUUACUCGGAAUUACUGGGCGUAAAGCGUGCGUAGGUGGUGGUUUAAGUCCGUUGUGAAAGCCCUGGGCUCAACCUGGGAAUUGCAGUGGAUACUGGGUCACUAGAGUGUGGUAGAGGAUAGUGGAAUUUCCGGUGUAGCGGUGAAAUGCGUAGAUAUCGGAAGGAACACCUGUGGCGAAAGCGGCUCACUGGACAAUUACUGACGCUGAUGCACGAAAGCUAGGGGAGCAAACAGGAUUAGAUACCCGCGUAGUCCCUGUCUCUUAUAC